GACAGAGGUCCCAAGCGUUAGGCGGAAUCACUGGGCUUAAAGCGUGUGUAGGCGGACUUGUAAGUACCUUGUGAAAUCCCACGGCUCAACCGUGGAACUGCUGGGUAUACUGCGAGUCUUGAGCCACCUAGGGGCGAGCGGAACAAGUGGUGGAGCGGUGAAAUGCGUAGAUAUCACUUGGAACGCCAAUGGUGAAAACAGCUCGCUGGGGGUGUGCUGACGCUGAGACACGAAAGCCAGGGGAGCAAACGGGG
rnacentral:rRNA from 1 species